rnacentral:lncRNA from 1 species
GAAACUUUUCCAUGGAUGUAACUUCAUUGGAGAUGUGAAUCAAUGAUUCUAGCAAAGACCCAGUUGGAGGAAAGCCCGAGGAGACCAUGAGAGGAGGUAGAGUUAUAUCCAUGGUGUUGUUGCCGUUCAGAGUAACUUUAUAUUCAUUGUUCUUUGCAUGUUUUAAGUUUAGAUUUCAUGGAGAAAACUCCUAUGUUAGGACAAGAUGAUAAUUAUAAACUAAAAUAUUGUGGUGGAGUAUUGACUGGUUCUGUUUGUACUGUUGUUGUAGGUGACAAUAAGAUGGCUAGUUGGAGAAGUCCCGAAUUUCUGCCACUUGGAGGGCGUACCGCUCUUGCCGGGUCAGUUAUAUUAUAUUCUCCAUCAAUUUAAUAUUCAGAGAAACAUACAUAUACAAAAAAAUGAGGCUUGUCAAGAAUUCCGUUUAUCGGUCAUAGCUUCUUAUUAAAGUAUUUAGUUGCAGAUUAUUAGUAUAUGUUAAACUAAGUAGGAGGGAGUUUCUUAUUUAGACAGAAACGUAGCUUAGGAUCAGUGCAACUUGAUUCACAUAUUAUUUUAUUUAUUCCCUGAGUAGUUUAUUUUAAGAUAUCAUCUGGAAGAUCCAUUAUUUGAGUUUUUGUGCUCUGUUGAUGUUGCUUGGAUCAACAGAAGAGAAAAUAGUUAGUAAUUGAGCUUAUUAGUUGAUUUGCCUCAUGCUUGAUGCGCUGAGCAGCAUGAACUUGUAACUGAUUUUUGUGGUUUAAGAAAAUAAUAGAGCCAAUAUUUGACUUGGGUACCACCAC